rnacentral:rRNA from 1 species
GACGAACGCUGGCGGCGUGCUUAACACAUGCAAGUCGAACGGAAAGGCCCUGCUUUUGUGGGGUGCUCGAGUGGCGAACGGGUGAGUAACACGUGAGUAACCUGCCCUUGACUGUGGGAUAACUUCAGGAAACUGGGGCUAAUACCGGAUAGGAGCUCCUGCUCCAUGGUGGGGGAUGGAAAGUUUCGGCGGUUGGGGCAGGACUCGCUGGUUAUCGGCUUGUUGGUCGGGUAGUGGCUUACCAAGGCUUUGACGGGUAGCCGGCCUGAGAGGGUGACCGGGGACAUUGGGACUGAGGUACGGCCCAGAAUGCAACGGGAGGCAGUAGUGGGGAAUAUUGCAGAGUGGGCGGAAGCCUGAUGCAGCAAUGCCGGGUGCGGGAUGACGGCCUACGGGUGGUAAACCGCUUUCGCCUGUGACGAAGCGUGAGUGACGGUAAUGGGUAAAGAAGCACCGGCUAACUACGUG